rnacentral:lncRNA from 1 species
CCCGCGGCCGCGAGGGAGCCGGUGCGCUCGCGCCGCCAGCGGGGCGGUGCCUGAGCCCGUAAAUCCUGAGGGGAGCCGGGGGAUGAGCGGCCGCGGAAGGGAAAGCCUCCUCUGCGGGGCACCAAAAGCCCGGAGUGGGCGGCUGUCGAAGCUGCGGCACCGGGAGGGAUCUAGUGCUCCACGUGGAGCAGUUAAUUUCCAAACCGAUAGGUAUUUGAGCCAGCUCAUAUGUAUGAGGUGCAAUAUGGCUAUGGAUGCUGAGGAACUGGCUUCACGAAGAGGAGAUAGCAAGUGCUAUCCAAGGCAGCAGGACAGUCAGCGGAGGUGUACUUUGAAGACCUGGCCCCUGACCAUGGAAAGAAGCCUGCUUGGAUGGCACUAGUUGGAAUCACUCUGAAGGACUGUAAGCUUUGUGUGCCUUAAUGAAAGGCACUAGGUAAUUUUGCAAAAGGGAAGGCAAUUUCCAUCUCACUUUAUAAGAUGCAUAUAUGUAUAAUCAUGUAUCUUAAGCAUAUGGAUUUUAAAUCUUGGCAUUGAAAGCUUUCCUGUAUUGAAUUGUGAAGUGUAUGAACAUAAAUAGUCCUAAAUUGCUGUGUUCGUGGAAGCACAAAUGAACAGUGUGAAUCUAGAAUGAUUUCAUGUUAAUUACUGUGUUUUAUUCCAAUGGUUUAAUUAGGGAAUGGUGUCACAUAUUGCUACAGAAUAUCACAAUUUACCUGCCCCCAUCUGACAAUCUCUUGGCUUUAGUAACAAAUGAAAGUGUAGUCCUUUUUGGAAUGGCUUUGAAGAUCUGAUAUGAAAAUCUUAUUUAAAGAUGGAUAAAAUGAAUACAUCCUUUUGGAAAUUCACACAAUGAAGUUAAGUGACCUUCUCCAGAUAGAUUAGCAAAGUGUGUCAGUAGUCAAGAGCAUUUAAAUUCCUGACUGUGUCCCUCUUUUUUAAUCAUUCUUUCCAGAUCAGUCUACAGAAUGGUGCUCUCACCAGUGUCUGAGGUAGUCAACAGAACUGAAUUACUGGGUAUAUAUUUUUCCUACAAUGAGCUUUCUUCUUGUAAGUAACCUACUUCUUCAGAGUUUUCUGGUUUGCUUUUUUUUUUUUUUUUUUUCUGAGAGGAAGAGGAAUGGGGUAGAUGAAAAAGGUAGAAAGCUAAAUCUGAAAGAAAAUGUUUGGAUUUCUUAUUGAUGCUUAUACUUCAGGAGGAAAUGGACGUCACUGCAAGUUAACAAAAUGGAAAUAUAUGUAUAUUAAAAGGAUUUUUUUGUUCUCACCAGGAAUAGAGUGCCUUGACUAAUCAUAAUUGGUUUCUUGUCUUGUCUUAGGGUCAGUGGCCAGGAAGAGUUCUUAUAAGAGAUUUGUAAGAAAUUCAAUAUUUCUUCUAAGUGUCUAAAUCAGGAGAUCAUGUAUUACACUUUCUUUAAAUAAGCUCCGUUGAUGAUUUACUUUGUGGGAUGAAAGAUUGUCAGUCUGUGCCUUAAAUCCAUGCUUUUUGAAGAUGUUUUUGAACCUUUGUUAGUUAUAGUUUAUGUAGCAGUGCUGAAUUCUCUGCUGCACUGCAAAUUCAAGUUGCUGUCUGAAAAUUAAGCUUUGAAUUCUGGAUGAAUAUCUGUGAAAGUAGGCCCCAUAUGACCUGAGAUUAUUUCAAAAGAAUCUCAUUUGCCUAGAAUUGCAUGCAAGAAUAUAGUUUUGCUUUAGAGACUCUAUGCUGUGUUGCUGUCAUUUACCCAUUGCAGGAGAUGUUCUUGAGUGUUCUGCUGAAAAAAAAAACCUGUUAUAAAUAAUCCUGUGUUUAAUAGCCCUCUAAACCAGAGAGGGAUUACAGUUAGUCAGGUGAACUGGAUGCUGUAUGAGCAAGGAUACAAUGACCCAAAUUACAUUUUCUAUUGAAAUACUGUUAAAGAUUACUAUGUUUUCACCUACAGCAAACUUCAGACUCAUUGAAUUUGUAGGUACCAAUUCCAGUAGUACAAUAUCACAAUUUGCAGCAUGGCUGGGAAUUCUGCUGACUUUUCCUCUGAGUACCUGUUCUGCUUUUUAGUAAUCCUUCUACUGAUUACUUCUGUUUCUUUUGGUUGUGAAUGUUUAACCUACUUUUGUGUACUUGUUAUGUUUAUUUUGAUAUUAAACAAAUCCUUUUUGCAGCUACUUUUUAGCAAGCAUUCAGCAGACAAGCAUCAAGUGGAACUAGUCUUCGUAACAGCCAUGUAGCAAACAUCCCAACAUACCUUGGUGUCUGGGAAGGUUCAUGCACGCCACAGCACAGGCACAGAAUUCAUUGAGCCCACUCAUACUGAUCUUGUGAUGCUGUACCUCACGUGGGGCACUACAAUUCCUUACCCUUUAACAGUUAAUGUUUCCUGCUUCAGUAUUGUUUCUACAACAAUUCUUCUGUUGUUCCACAGGUACUAACUCAAUUUUAUUUUUUUACUUGUCUGGUUUUUUGCAAUAAGAACCAUAUAAAGCCUAAAGUAAGAGACAUGUUUAGUAACCUGAUUCUGGCUUGCAGUUUGCUCUUGUUUUGUCAGAUCUGACACAAGUAUUUUUCCUGAAGUCCGUUUGUUUAAAUGUAGCCAUUACUCAUAUUUUCCACUGUAAACUUGGAUAGCCACUGUGGAACAAGCCACAAAAAAUGUGGGUUUCAUGACAAAAUUGUAGACCAAGAAUUUUAUAGUUCAGGAGUCAUCUUGCGUGCUUAACUAGCAUUAAUUGAGGAGCCAGAUUUCUAAAUAUUGCUCUAUUGUCUGGUAACUCAGGCACUUCUCAUAUAGCGUGAUAUGUUUGCUCCAAAACUGAUCUGUGAACAAGUAUCUGAAAAAUUGGAAAGCUAGAGUUGUAAAAUGGAUCUAAGUUAUGGAAUCUAAGUUUUACUUCAGAAUUCAAAAUCCAUUGAGGCACAUAUAAUCUUCUCAGGACAAAUAAACCUCUUAGUGGAAUCA